GACGAACGCUGGCGGCGUGCUUAACACAUGCAAGUCGAACGGAAAGGCCCUGCUUUUGUGGGGUGCUCGCGUGGCGAACGGGUGAGUAACCCGUGAGUAUCCUGCCCUGGACUUUGGGAUAACUUCAGGCAACUGGGGAUAAUACCGGAUAGGAGCUCCUGCUGCAGGGUGGGGGUCGGAACGUUUCGGCGGAUGGGGAUGGACUCGCGGCUUAUCAGCUUGUUGGUGGGGGAGUGGCUUACCAGGGCUUUGACGGGUAGCCGGCCUGGGAGGGUGACCGGCCACAUUGGGACUGAGAUACGGCCCAGACUCCUACGGGAGGCAGCAGUGGGGAAUAUUGCACAAUGGGCGGAAGCCUGAUGCAGCAACGCCGCGUGCGGGAUGACGGCCUUCGGGUUGUAAACCGCUUUCGCCUGUGACGAAGCGUGAGUGACGGUAAUGGGUAAAGAAGCACCGGCUAACUACGUG
rnacentral:rRNA from 1 species